ensembl:lncRNA
CGCUGGAGAGUAGAGACUGCAAAGGAUUCUGUGGCUAGCUACACAAGAGAGUUCUUAAUGUGCGACGGGUGUACGUUUAAUGGUCACGUGCUGUGAGAAGGACUGAAGAGCGGGUUGGCGUCACUACUGUUGUCUAUACUGUUUGAAUUUAACGUGUACAUAUGAUAGUUACUGCUCUCUCAGACCCUGAAAGACAGUUUUAGGCUGAGCCAGUGGAAUAGUUAAAUUUUGCCGUUUCACUCAAAACUACAGAAUUCAAACUGUGCUCCUCCGAGUACAGUCGGAGAAUAAAAAAGCCCACAAAAGAGUAUUUCCUGUGUCCUGUCUCAUUCCCCAUGACCGGGCCACAUAUAAGUUUAGAUUUUUUUAUGCUUCAUUUCCUGAAUGUUACCAAACAGAUGGAAA